GUCCCGUAAAAAUGGUUUUAUUUUUCCUUAAAUUUCGUUUUGAAAAAAUCAAAUUUCGGUUUUAUUUCGCUGUUUUGGUUUUUCAUGUUUACUUUAACUUUUGAGAAUGGUUUUAUGACCUACAAGUUUUGCUUGGCUAAAUAAUAGUGGCACGGCGUAUACUCGUAUACUGCACUCUAAAGUCAACACUAUUGGCAAAUAAAAAUUGUAGGCUUGAAACAGCUCGGCACGGCCCGGUGCCGCCUAGCGCGCUGCCUCGGCACGGCCCAGUGUCGCCUAGCGCGCUGCCUCGGCACGGCCCGGUGUCGCCUAGCGCGCUGCCUCGGCACGGCAUGUCUCAACUUAGUAUUCUUUUAAUAUUUCUUGCUGCUGUUCUUUGUCCCGUUGACGCCGUAUUCACUUGCUCUGCGGUCGUAUUGCAUUUGCUGAGAAGUGUAGUUACGGCAGUUAAAGGUCACUGAUUUUGCUUAUCAAUCGGCGUAGUGCCAUGUGUUCAUGUUUACGAGUAGUAGAGGUGUAAAAGUAACGAAAAAAAGUGUACCCGUAUGUAUUCGUUACUAUAACAAUUAGUACUCGUUACUAUCGUGUCGCUACGUUACUCGUUACUUCUGAUACCGCAUAACAUGCAAUGUUAUGUUGCAGCAACGAAUCGAGUCGUAUUGCGUACGCGUACAGUAUGACGUCACGUAAAUAAUAAUAAAUAGAAUAUAAACAAUUAACAAUAUUUGAUAAUUAACAGUUUUUGUUAACCAAGAAACAAUUAAAUCUCAUUAGAGCGGUUUUAUUAUAUUAUCUCUUUUAAGAUAAAAACAACAAAAAACGUGAAAAUACGCGAUAAUAAAUAACAAAAACAUACAUAUUUCUAAUUUGUAAAAAAUACUUUCUUAUAAACAGUAAAAAACUUGGACGACAAAUUUCCAUAUUAUACUUAAUAAACAAACAUCGUUCUUUGUAACGUAAAUUCAUCGAAUAUGCGCGCGCAUGCGUAAAACAUACGAAAAAUGUGAGUAACGAAAUCCAGCCGUGUGUAACGUUUCGUUACUCGAUACUAGAUGGCGCACCCGUUACUCAGUCAGUACCGAAUACAUACGGUUUGCUACACCUACAGCUCUAACGAGUAGGUUGCCAAGCCAGUCAAACGUAGUUGAAAGCAUGAGGUUGUUAACUGUUCAACAUGAAAAGAAGAAUUACAAUUUUAUAUUUCUCUACAAGAUUAAUGUGUAAAUACAGCGGGUUGAAAAUCAUGGCAGCUAUAUUGUGUUGAAAACAUCGCCGGUAUUUUUUAUUAACUUUGUGUUGAUGCUCAGCAAUUUUCACACAUUCGAUGGAUGAACAAAACUCAUCAUGCCUAUGCAAGGUGAAUGACGGCACGUGUGCAAACCGUACAGAGCAGGAAGAAAAGGAACACUUAUGAAAGGCAUGUAGAGCAGAAACAGUUCCAUCCAAUCCUAAGUGGCAGUUCUACUUUGAGAUUCAGACCAAUGUUGGUGGGCACAAGUCUACGACGUCAGCAGCUGAUGAAAUGAACGUCCAUCUUCAGGGCAAUCUGUUGCCAUUGGCAUCAAACGUGCCUCAGUUUUGGAAGGGAAAAGUAGAGUUUCCAGCGCUGCAGAAAUCAACUAAGAAAUAUCCAGCUAUUCCUCGGUUACUGUGUUCUCCCAGCAUCUUCCUGUAUAAAAGGACUCAUUGCAGGAAAAAAAAAAAUUGUUUGGACCUUGAUAGUGUCAAAAUGCUAAUCUUCUUAAAAAAAAAAGUGAAUAUUUAUACUUUUUUUUUUAAAUUUAGUUUAUACUUUGGAAAAUAUAAAAUUUUGACAUAGCCAUAGUGCUGAAAUGAACAAUUUGUACCCAAAUCAUAUGUGCUAGUUUUUGUUUUUGGCUCUGUAAGACAAUAACUUAACUUACACAGCUGUCACACAACACAUGAAUUGGAAUUGAGCUCGAAAUCGAGGUGAGAAUUGAUGUAAGCAUCUAAAUCAAUAAAAUUUCUGUAUUUUGAAAUCCAUAA